rnacentral:lncRNA from 1 species
AUAAAAUAGUAAGUAAGUAAAUUUUAUUUAGAGUCGGCAUAUAUAUACAUAAUAACAAGCAAAACAUGAGCUCUGGUGAGCUCUUUAACCGACUAUCACAUAAAAAAUCAUGCAGCAUCAUGCAAAUACUACCAAAUACAAAUGAAAUAAAAAUGAACCAUGCAAAAUAAUGAAAGCAAAACUAUUUGAUUUGUGAGCCUCCAGAGUCAAAGUUCAUGUGGC